AUCACUUCUUGGCCUUUUACUAAGAUCAGGUGCAGUAUCUGUUCUUAUACACUUAGUAUCUGAUACGUCCUCUAUGUGACAUAUGUUCUCUAUAUCAGAACAAUACAUUAAAAGAAUAUUUUGAGCACUGAGUUGGAAUAGGAGCUUGCUCCAUGCAUUCCAUGCAUCAAUCUGCUAUCGUAUUCAGAUUGAUGCAUAUUCAGGAAUGGUGCACAUCAA
rnacentral:snRNA from 1 species